UCCAGAACUCAAAACCAGGAAGGAUGUGGU
rnacentral:piRNA from 1 species